rnacentral:tRNA from 1 species
CGGGGUGUGGCGAAGUUGGCUAUCGCGCCUGGUUUGGGACCAGGAGGCCCUGGGUUCGAGUCCCAGCACCCCGACCA